UCCGGCUUACACCGGCGGUCUCCUAUGAGUUCCCGACUUUCUCGCUGGCAACAUAGGACGAGGGUUGCGCUCGUUUACGGACUUAACCGCACACCUCACGACACGAGCUGACGACAGCCAUGCAGCACCUGUGCACCGACAAAAAGGGGCACCAUCUCUGGCGCUUUCCGGCGUAUGUCAAACCCAGGUAAGGUUCUUCGCGUUACAUCGAAUUAAACCACAUACUCCACCGCUUGUGCGGGCCCCCGUCAAUUCCUUUGAGUUUCACGCUUGCGCGCAUACUCCCCAGGCGGUCGACUUAACGCGUUAGCUUCGAUACUGAGCACCAAAGUGUGCCCAACAUCCAGUCGACAUCGUUUAGGGCGUGGACUAC
rnacentral:misc_RNA from 1 species